rnacentral:rRNA from 1 species
UAGGAAUCUUCCACAAUGGACGCAAGUCUGAUGGAGCAACGCCGCGUGAGUGAAGAAGGUUUUCGGACCGUAAAGCUCUGUUGUUGGUGAAGAAGGAUAGAGGUAGUAACUGGCCUUUAUUUGACGGUAAUCAACCAGAAAGUCACGGCUAACUACGUGCCAGCAGCCGCGGCAAUUACGUAGGUGGCAAGCGUUGUCCGGAUUUAUUGGGCGUAAAGCGAGCGCAGGCGGAAGAAUAAGUCUGAUGUGAAAGCCCUCGGCUUAACCGAGGAAUUGCAUCGGAAACUGUUUUUCUUGAGUGCAGAAGAGGAGAGUAGAACUCCAUGUGUAGCGGUGGAAUGCGUAGAUAUAUGGAAGAAUACCAGUGGCGAAGGCGGCUCUCUGGUCUGCAACUGACGCUGAGGCUCGAAAGCAUGGGUAGCGAACAGGAUUAGAUACCCUGGUAGUCCAUGCCGUAAACGAUGAGUGCUAAGUG